GACGAACGCUGGCGGCGUGCUUAACACAUGCAAGUCGAGCGGUAAGGCCCUUUCGGGGGUACACGAGCGGCGAACGGGUGAGUAACACGUGGGUGACCUGCCUUUAGCUCUGGGAUAAGCCUGGGAAACCGGGUCUAAUACCGGAUAUGACUCCGCGGCGCAUGUUGUGGGGUGGAAAGCCUUGUGCGGCUGGAGAUGGGCCCGCGGCCUAUCAGCUUGUUGGUGGGGUGAUGGCCUACCAAGGCGACGACGGGUAGCCGGCCUGAGAGGCGACCGGCCACACUGGGACUGAGACACGGCCCAGACUCCUACGGGAGGCAGCAGUGGGGAAUCUUGCGCAAUGGGCGAAAGCCUGACGCAGCGACGCCGCGUGAGGGAUGACGGCCU
rnacentral:rRNA from 1 species